rnacentral:rRNA from 1 species
GAUGAACGCUGGCGGCGUGCCUAAUACAUGCAAGUCGAGCGAACAGACGAGGAGCUUGCUCCUCUGACGUUAGCGGCGGACGGGUGAGUAACACGUGGAUAACCUACCUAUAAGAAUGGGAUAACUUCGGGAAACCGGAGCUAAUACCGGAUAAUAUAUUGAACCGCAUGGUUCAAUAGUGAAAGACGGUUUUGCUGUCACUUAUAGAUGGAUCCGCGCCGCAUUAGCUAGUUGGUAAGGGAACGGCUUACCAAGGCAACGAUGCGUAGCCGACCUGAGAGGGUGAUCGGCCACACUGGAACUGAGACACGGUCCAGACUCCUACGGGAGGCAGCAGUAGGGAAUCUUGCGCAAUGGGCGAAAGCCUGACGGAGCAACGCCGCGUGAGUGAUGAAGGUCUUCGGAUCGUAAAACUCUGUUAUUAGGGAAGAACAAAUGUGUAAGUAACUAUGCACGUCUUGACGGUACCUAAUCAGAAAGCCACGGCUAACUACGUG